CGGGGUGUGGCUCAGCUUGGCUAGAGCGCUUGAUUUGGGAUCAAGAGGUCGCAGGUUCGAAUCCUGUCACCCCGACUA
rnacentral:tRNA from 11 species